rnacentral:rRNA from 1 species
AUUGAACGCUGGCGGCAUGCUUUACACAUGCAAGUCGAACGGUAACAGGCCUUCGGGUGCUGACGAGUGGCGAACGGGUGAGUAAUGCAUCGGAACGUACCCAGAGGUGGGGGAUAACGCAGCGAAAGCUGUGCUAAUGCCGCAUGUGAUCUGAGGAUGAAAGCGGGGGACCGAGCAGCAAUGUUUGGCCUCGCGCCUUUGGAGCGGCCGAUGUCGGAUUAGCUAGUUGGUGGGGUAAAGGCCUACCAAGGCGACGAUCCGUAGCUGGUCUGAGAGGACGACCAGCCACACUGGGACUGAGACACGGCCCAGACUCCUACGGGAGGCAGCAGUGGGGAAUUUUGGACAAUGGGCGCAAGCCUGAUCCAGCAAUGCCGCGUGCGGGAAGAAGGCCUUCGGGUUGUAAACCGCCUUUGGCAGGAACGAAACGGUGUCCGCUAAUACCGGGCGCUAAUGACGGUACCUGCAGAAUAAGCACCGGCUAACUACGUG